ensembl:snRNA U6 U6 spliceosomal RNA
GCUCUCUUUGGCAGUGCAUAUACUAAAAUUGGAAUAAUAUGGAGAAGGUCAGCAUGGCUCCUUGCAAGGAUGCAUGCAAAUUCGUGAAGUGUUACAUAUUUUU